rfam:Rattus norvegicus chromosome 20, whole genome shotgun sequence.
GGGGAUUUAGCUCAGUGGUAGAGCACUUGCCUAGCAAGCGCAAGGCCUUAGGUUCAGUCCCCG